AGUAGCAAUACUGCCGGCGACCGGCGCAAGGGUGCGUAACGCGUGAGCAACAUGCCCGUAUCAGGGGGAUAAUCCAUGGAAACGUGGUCUAAUACCCCAUAGUAAUUAUGUAAGGCAUCUUAUAUAAUUUAAAGCUUUGGUGGAUACGGAUUGGCUCGCGUGACAUUAGCUGGAUGGUAAGGUAACGGCUUACCAUGGCUACGAUGUCUAGGGGUUCUGGAGAGGAAGGUCCCCCCACACUGGAACUGAGACACGGUCCAGACUCCUACGGGAGGCAGCAGGUGAGGAAUAUUGGACAAUGGAUGGAAAUCUGAUCCAGCCAUGCCGCGUGCAAGGAAGACGGCCCUAUGGGUUGUAAACUGCUUUUGUAUGGGAGCAAUAAGGGCUACGUGUAGUCCGAUGAGAGUACCAUACGAAUAAGCACCGGCUAACUCCGUGCCAGCAGCCGC
rnacentral:rRNA from 1 species